rnacentral:rRNA from 1 species
AGCGAACGCUGGCGGCAGGCCUAACACAUGCAAGUCGAGCGGAUGAGAAGAGCUUGCUCUUCGAUUCAGCGGCGGACGGGUGAGUAAUGCCUAGGAAUCUGCCUGGUAGUGGGGGACAACGUUUCGAAAGGAACGCUAAUACCGCAUACGUCCUACGGGAGAAAGCAGGGGACCUUCGGGCCUUGCGCUAUCAGAUGAGCAUAGGUCGGAUUAGCUAGUUGGUGAGGUAAUGGCUCACCAAGGCGACGAUCCGUAACUGGUCUGAGAGGAUGAUCAGUCACACUGGAACUGAGACACGGUCCAGACUCCUACGGGAGGCAGCAGUGGGGAAUAUUGGACAAUGGGCGAAAGCCUGAUCCAGCCAUGCCGCGUGUGUGAAGAAGGUCUUCGGAUUGUAAAGCACUUUAAGUUGGGAGGAAGGGCAGUAAGUUAAUACCUUGCUGUUUUGACGUUACCGACAGAAUAAGCACCGGCUAACUCUGUGCCAGCCGCCGCUGUAACAC